UUAAAAUUGAAUGGCGAUUGUCGGUAUGGUCGCUUUUUCACAAAAAAAUUGGUUACCAACAAGCGAAGUGACUAGACCGAACACUCGUGCUAUAAUUUUAAAA
rfam:Drosophila ananassae strain TSC#14024-0371.13 Ctg01_18792, whole genome shotgun sequence.